CGGGGUGNCAGCAGGCGCGAAACCUUUACACUGCACGACAGUGCGAUAGGGGGACUCCGAGUGUGAGGGCAUAUAGCCCUCGCUUUUCUGUACCGUAAGGUGGUACAAGAAUAAGGACUGGGCAAGACCGGUGCCAGCCGCCGCGGUAAUACCGGCAGUCCNAGUGAUGGCCGAUAUUAUUGGGCCUAAAGCGUCCGUAGCUUGCUGUGUAAGUCCAUUGGGAAAUCGACCAGCUCAACUGGUCGGCGUCCGGUGGAAACUACACAGCUUGGGGCCGAGAGACUCAACGGGUACGUCUGGGGUAGGAGUGAAAUCCUGUAAUCCUGGACGGACCACCAAUGGGGAAACCACGUUGAGAGACCGGACCCGACAGUGAGGGACGAAAGCCAGGGUCUCGAACCGGAUUAGAUACCCGGGUAGUCCUGGCUGUAAACAAUGCUCGCUAGGUAUGUCACGCGCUCAUGAGCACGUGAUGUGCCGUAGUGAAGACGAUAAGCGAGCCUCCUGGGAAGUACGUCCGCAAGGNUGAAACUUAAAGGAANUGGCGG
rnacentral:rRNA from 1 species